GAUGAAGGAGGAAGUUGGAACUCCAUUGUAAAGACUUCGAUUCUGGCCCAACUUGGCAGGGAAAAUAAACUGAUCAAACUGCAUUAUGAGCAACAGGUCAAAUCUUACUUCAGAAUUCAUGAGUGAGGAAGCAUUUGUCAGUGAAAACUUAGCCACUAUUGGAAGGUUUGAGCUCUUGACUUCUGAAUGUCAAGUUAUCAAAGAAACAGUUCACAAGUACUAUACUGGGCAUCUGGUCUUCACGCAGUUUCUGACCUGGGCCUCCUACCAAGUUCCAGUGAAACUCAGCAUUAGCUCAAGUAACACCACUUCAUCUUUCAAAUAGGCACACUACAGCCUUCUAGACAAAGCGAUACAUUAAGACCAAACCAUUCUGCCACUACUCAAGAUUUUACUGCUCUUCAACUACACGAUACUUCCAGUAAAGUUUUACCACAGACAUUUGAAAGCACUCCAGAUGCCAAGAUGCAUAAAACAAAUGUGUUACGUGCAAAAGUGAGUCACAAAGAGGAGCAGGUGGAACUCCCUAUUUCCAUAUUGAGGAAGAGAUCCAAGAUGACAAGGUAUCAAGACUAUGUUUCUCACAGAACAAGAUCAGAAAGAAGAGUACGCUUUCGAGAAUCAGAUGAGAUAAUUUUUCACACAACUGAAGAUAAUUCCUAUUUGCCAGCAGUGUUUUGGAAAUUAUUGGUCGUCAUUUCGCUGAGUCUGGUGAUCAUAUUGCUCCAUUAUAAUGAAAACGCGUCAAACAUGUAUGAACAACUUCAUUCAAAACUCAUCAGUUAUUACUUGGAAAUAAAACAUACAACUUUCAGCUGGUUGAAUCGGAAUAGAAGACAUUAGAAUGUCAGUAGCAUCAGACAACCUAAUUUCAGCAGAAAAACCUUCAACAGCAAAUGUGAAAAUGCCUGCCUUAAGCAGCUUUUUUAAUUGGAAGUAGAUGAAGACUUAAAUUGAAAGAGGAAAUAGCUAUGAAAGUAAUGCCGAUCCAUAGGAAUAUGAUAAACUUAACACAAAAAUAAUUAAAGCAGUAGUUGUAAUCAAACAUUCUAUAAUUCAUUCAAAUGACAGAUUAUUUCAAACCAAUGUUUAAUGCAACUCCUAUUUCAGAAUCAAAUCAAUAUGAGACAUGUCAUGGUUUGAAUUGGACUGCUAUGAAACAGUCUUGUCACUUAAUUUCAAUACUGCAGUAAAAUUUCUUUUUAAAAUUAAAAGUUCCCUUUCCCAUUCUAAAUUGAUAGUUUAUAGCUACAAACCUAAAACUUACUUACUUUGCCUUUUAUUUAAUUAUAAGGGUACCAACUGUUCCUUGCAGUGACCAUUAUACUUUCUAAGUGCCUUAAGGAUUCAGAUCAUCAUGCAGCCUGAAAAUUCAAAACUAGCUUAUUGCAAAUAUAUUGCAUCCUGAAUGAUGCCAGCUGUACAAAAAGAAACAGCAAUAUAACUACUAGAAAAGCAACAAAGUACUGCAGAUUCUGAAAAUUUGAAUUCAAACCAAAAAAUAUUUGAAAUAAUACCAGGGAAGACAGCAUUUGAAGAAAGAGAAAUAAUUAACAUUUCAAGGUGAUGACCUUUUGUCAGAAUUCAGUAACAGAGUUAGCUCACAUGCUGAAGGAAUUGUUAAUCUUACUCUCUGGUCCUAUUUUAAGCAGUUAAUGGGCCUUUAAACAUUAAUUUUAGGAACAGGGGUUAGGGUGGGGAGGGCGAGUAGAAUAAUGAAAAAGUGAGGAGAGAAGAAAAGAUCGUAAAGGUCCCUAAAUCUGUGAAAGAGAGGCUGAUGGUGUAUAGAAAAAAGGGCUGGCAAUGGGACAAGUAAAAGCAUAGGGUGUUCCCAGAGAAAUGUAUACCAGGGUUAAUAUUUCUGAGGCAAUCUCUCAAUCAAAUGAUGUUUUGUUUUCCUUCUCUGAAAUGUGUUCAGGAAAGGUGGUGCCAAUCAUCAUGUUUCUGUGUAGUGCUUCAUCUAGGGCAGAUGUGUGAACUGCAAGAGAGUUGAGUUCUUCUUGACUUUUGACUUUUUCUGGCUACUUACAUCAAUAGGAAUUUUUAACCAGCUGAUUACCUUAAAAGAUGUUACUAGAUGAAAUUCAUGGCUUUAGGAGCAAAGGGUUACUGCCAUGAUAAAAAUCAAAUAUCUGAAUAGAGGAAAUAAUCAAAACACCAGUUAAGCUUAGAACAGUUUAUUGUUACUAAUGAGCAUUCAAAAUAUUGAAUGUUUGCUAAAUGGGAAUAUAUUUUGCCCUAAAUUUCUGCUGGAUAUUUAAGCAAAAACAAUGUAAUGUAGAUGUUGCUCUAAAUUCUACCUAUUGAUCAGGUAAUUAAAUUUUCAGCCAUUGCCUCUGUUUAUAUAGUCUGAUAUUUUGUAGAUAACAUUCAUUUUAAUAAACAGUAUUUUCUGGACUUGAGCAAUCUUGCUAUUGAAAGUUGGAGUGCACAUGAGGUAUAAAAAUAAAAACAUUAGAAAUAAUUUCAUUUUACUAUGUAGAAACGCUAAGGCCUUUUAAAAAUAUUUUAAUGUAAUAUAAUUUGGAAUAAAAUGUGGUUCUAAAUUUCUACUUUUAAAUUAUUAAUUCAUGUGCCAUCUCAAAUCAGCAGAAACAUAUAAUUAUUUUUAUGAUUAUUCCAUCUGACCAUUUUUCAUUUAAAAGUAUAUUACAGUUUUGAAGAAAGCGGUACACCACGACUUCUACCAUUGAUUCUGUAAUGAUCUAAUGUUAAUAGAGUUGUUAUACCUAUGAGACCUGCUGUUAUUUAGUUACCUUGAUUGUACUCUUAAGCUUUGUUAUGACUCAAGGUGAGAUCUUGGCACUUGUUACCUUUGCACAAGCAUCUUGAACUUCAUUUGGGAAUAAUCAUUUUAAUUGUCGAACAUCAUUCAUUCUGUUUAGAUAUGGGAUAAGUUCCAAUGAAUUAUUUUGGGAAAUGAUUAAAUCAGAAGCUGGGAACCACAGAGGCAAGAAAACAGCCGGUAGAUGAAGGUUAUAUUUAUCAUUCAGUGGAAAACAAAAAUGUAUCAACAUUUCAGACCAAUGACCUUUCAUCAUGAUUAAUGAAAGCUCAUGGACUUGAAGCUUUAACUCUGUUUUACUCUCUGUACAUGCUGUCUGACCUGCUGAGUGUUUCUAGUAUUUUCUGUAUUAUUUUGGAUUUCCAGCAUCUCCAGUAUGUUGCUUUGUAAAUUUAUUAAAACAUUGCACUUAAAUGAAUCUGCCAAGAACUGCAAAAUUCUCAGCUUCUGUCAUUAUUUACUUGAAUAACCUGAUAAAACAAUAUGACCGUAAUAGUAAAAGAAUCCUAUUUCUGCUUAUGCCCUUCUUUUGAUAACUCUCAUUAUUUCCUGACUGUGACAGCCUGCAUGUCUUUGAUCUUCAAUCUACAGCAAAGUCAAAGUACUUGGAGGAACUCUUGUCCUAACUUCAACACAUUUUUUUGUAAGAAAGCAUAUAUUCAAUGUUUAGGAUAUCUCCCUGACAGGUCUGUGUAGAAAAAAUAACCAUAACCACUGACCCAUGCCGUAAUACUUAAUUUCACUGAAUGGGACUAAAAUCACAUUAGCAAGCUAUUAAUUCAAAGGAAGUAAAGUGUAAGAUAUUUAACUGAAAGCAUCAGUGAAAACUGAUUACUUCCAUCUGGUUAGCAAUGCAGGUAGUUAAACUGCAUUAAAAUUUUAAGAAGAAAUUUUGGGGUGGUUUAUUAGGCAUAAUUAUGACACUCUAGCUUGAAGUUUUUAUAUCUCCUUAGUUGCUGUUUAUUUUGUGUUAAUUUUAAAAUGAUCUAAUUAUCCUGGAGGAAACAUUGCUAUAAUUUUAAUUAUGGUCGAGAGGGUUGAGAGCUUCAAGUUCCUGGGAGUGAACAUCACCAACAGCCUGUCCUGGUCAAAUCAUGUAGAUGCCACGGCCAAGAACGCUCACCAGCACCUCUACUUCCUCAGGAGGCUAAAGAAAUUUGGUUUGUCCCCUUUGACUCUCACCAGCUUUUACCGAUGCACCAUAGAAAGCAUCCUCUCAGGAUGCAUCACAGCUUGGUACGGCAACUGCAAGAAACUGCAGAGAGUUGUGGACACAGCCCAGUGCAUCAUGGACACCAGCCUCCCCUCCUUGGACUCUUUACCUCUUGUUGUCUUGGUGAAGCAGCCAGCAUAAUCAAAGACCCCACCCACCUGGGACAUUCUCUCUUCUCUCUCCUUCCAUUAGGUAGAAGAUACAGGAGCCAGAGGGCACAUACCACCAGACUUAAGGACAGCUUCUACCCCACUGUGAUGACUAUUGAAUGGUUUCCUUAUACAAUGAGAUGAACUAUGACCUCACGAUCUACCUUGUUGUGACCUUGCACCUUAUUGCACUGCACUUUCUCUGUAGCUGUGACACUUUACUGUUAUUGUUUUUACCUAUACUACUUCAAUGCAGUCUGUACUAACUCAAUGUAACUGCACUGCAUAAUGAAUUGACGUGUAUGAUCAGUUUGUAAGACAAGCUUUUCACUGUACCUCGGUACAAGUGACAAUAAACCAAACCAAAAUGCUAUGUACUUCCUUCUGAUACAAAACCAGUGUGCACAAUGCUUCUGUAUCUCUGUAUACUUGUGCAUCCUUUAUAGUGUGCAGUAUGCUAAAUUGUAGACAUUUACAAAGGUUUCAAUCCUGUGUUGGAUAUCAGCAUAGUUAAGAUGAGAUUUGCAGAAAUAAAAUUGAGAUCCGAUUUUAACUUGUUAGGGAAUAAUUAGCUAUAUUUGACAAAAUAUACCUGAAUCUUGAAGUCCAUAAAUAAAAGUAUAUCUAUAAAGGAAUGUGCCAUAACUGCAACAAAUAUUAUGUUUAUAUUAUGACUGAUGUCUGUGAAUUGUUCUCUUGUAAUGUGUUAAAUUCCAAUUUUUGUUUUUACCAUGAUUAAUCAAAUUUGUUAUCCACAUAGAUCAUUCAGUGAAAGUAUAUUAGAGAUUUAGCUCAACAAAUUACUUUAUUUGUAUGGUCAUUCAUAUUUCAAGAAUUUUAGCCUACAAACAAUACUGAAAUGAAAACAGAUACAAUACUAGAGUUAUCAAUUUUUAUUUGAGGAACUGACAUGGGACUAGUUCAUAGUUCUAGCAUUGUGCAGGGUUCAUGGUCUGUUGCGGCAUUUCCCAUGGGUCACUGUUUAAAAGAUAAAGGGUUACCCAUCUAAGACAGAGAUGAGGCAAAACAAAUUCCUUGAGAGGGUUGUGUGCCUUUAGAACUCUGCUUCCACCAUCCUUUGACGAAGAAGGUCUUUGAAUAUUUCUAAAGCAAAGGUACAUAAAUUCUUGAUAAGCAAGGGGGUGAGAGGUUAUUAGAAUAGGCAUUGAGGUUACAAUCAAAUGAGAUAUAAUCUCAUUGAAAUGUGGAGCAUGCUCAAAAGGCUGAGUGGCCUAUUUUGCUCCUAUGAAAAACUGUUAAGUUCUUCUGGAUCAGGAAGUAAUGAGUUUGCAAAAAAUAUGGGAUUUAAAUGUGUGCUGCUGGUAAAGCUACUUCUAGUAUUCAUCAUAAAAAUAAUGGCAACAUAACACAAAAUAAACAGUUUUAUAUUUUUAGGACUAUACUUAUUUCUUUGGCAUUUCUUUUAUGUUCUGUCUCCUAAAAAUUCACUAUUGGUCAAUCAGCAUUGAAACAGGUAGGAACUGUUUCAUCUUUGGUCUGGACUCUGUCGAUGGGAUGGAAUAACGUGUUGGCCAAAACUUGCUGCUAACAAUGAGCCACCAUGGUCACUACUGCCGUAUGUGUUAAGUAUGGAUUUAAACUCUCCUUCAGUCCUGAUGUAGGGUUUCGACCUGAAACGUCAGCAGCUCCUUCCCCCACACCCAGAUGCUGCUCAAGCUGCUGUUCUUCCAACAGAUUGUUUGACGCUAUGGAUUUAAGCUGUUUUUAAUGUGCCUCUGUUGAUUUUCUUGUAGAGGACAUUCUUUUCUGAGGUGGUGAAAAGUUGAGCAGAGACAGGGCCUUGUACAAUAUUAUGUUCUCGUGGAGUUGAGGAUGGUGCGAGAUAGUUUUGGAACAGGAAGCAUAACAGGCCCUGCCCAUGAUACAGUUGAGAAAACUGUCAAAACUGAAUAUUUCUGAAUGUCCCCUAUAUACUCUUAAAAAUAACAAUUUUGGUCUGAAUUCAAUUCAUUAAAAGAUAUAAAUUAACUAAUGUUUCUUCGCACAGCCACUCCUCCCAUUAAGGCGCUGAGGCUUAACUUCUGGGAAAUUGUUGCAAAUUUAUGCUCCGCAACUAGACUCGGUGAGGAGUCCAGUGUUGGAACACAGUUGGGAAAUCCCCACAGGAGAGCAAACAGCAAGUUCAGGUCAUCUACGUUCAUGCAAAAAUACCAAAGUUGUUUCCACUAACAUUGGAGAAACACCAGUAGUUCGGUGCCAGCACUUUGCAUCAAAGUCCAGCCAAUGAAUUAGAUUUCCAUCCAUGCCAUUUGCCCAUAAAGCAGCAGCAGAACUGAGUGCAGAGAGGAAAAUGGGCAUUUGGCUUGCACACACGCAAGAGCUGACCUGAUCUUCAUUUUUAAAUUUAACUAACAAAAGAAAGAUAAUGCAAAGUUACUUCACAGAUAUGUGAUCCUCCCUCAUUUCCUCUGCAUUUGUCCAAGCAGUACCAAAAGUGCAUUACCAGCGAGUUAACACCUGCUCAUCAUUAACUAGUUUCCCCUACUCAGUCUGCGAUAUCUACCCUCUUUAAAAACUAACUUUGAUUUUUAAAUCUAAUGUGUUUUUUUUUCCCCUCAAGUUUUAAAUUCUACUUUGGAGAUGGGAGCAUUUGCAAUAAUCUAUGUUUUGGUUGUCUGAAAGGAGUUGCAUUGACAAAAACUCAAAUUUCUGAGAUUAUUUGUGGGCUUUUAAAUUGGAAGGCCUGCUGAUGAAUGAAAGGUUGACAGGCAGUAGAAUCCAGUCAUGCCUACAGGAAUAAAUGUCAUCAGUGCUGUACCUUUCGUGAGGGGUUGUAGUUAUUCAGCAGUUGUAGAUGGGGGGGAUAAAAAUUGCCCUCCAUGUCACUCCAUGACUUUUGUAACACUGAAUCUCUUCAUCAAAAAGGCUAGUUCUAGAUAGACAAGAUUGUCAAAAUAUGGUCUUGUAUAUGCAAAGACUUGUGUAGACUAUGCUGUAAAAUCCAUAUACAACUGAUAGAUUUUAAAUGAUGUAACAGAUAUCCUGUUUACUUUCAACA